rnacentral:rRNA from 1 species
CCUACGGGAGGCAGCAGUAGGGAAUCUUCCGCAAUGGACGAAAGUCUGACGGAGCAACGCCGCGUGAACGAUGAAGGCCUUCGGGUCGUAAAGUUCUGUUGUUAGGGAAGAACAAGUGCUAGUUAAAUAAGCUGGCACCUUGACGGUACCUAACCAGAAAGCCACGGCUAACUACGUGCCAGCAGCCGCGGUAAUACGUAGGUGGCAAGCGUUGUCCGGAAUUAUUGGGCGUAAAGCGCGCGCAGGCGGUUUCUUAAGUCUGAUGUGAAAGCCCCCGGCUCAACCGGGGAGGGUCAUUGGAAACUGGGAAACUUGAGUGCAGAAGAGGAAAGUGGAAUUCCAAGUGUAGCGGUGAAAUGCGUAGAGAUUUGGAGGAACACCAGUGGCGAAGGCGACUUUCUGGUCUGUAACUGACGCUGAGGCGCGAAAGCGUGGGGAGCAAACAGGAUUAGAUACCCUGGUAGUCCACGCUGUAAACGAUGAGUGCUAAGUGUUAGAGGGUUUCCGCCCUUUAGUGCUGAAGUUACGCAUUAAGC